rnacentral:lncRNA from 1 species
AUAAUAUUAAAAGGUUUAUUUUUAUUAUGAGCAUAUCAAAUUCAUUGAAUCUAAUCAAAUUUUAUAUAUAUAUAUAUAUAGAGUUGAGCUAGAAUACUCUCGAGAGUAAACGAGCCCGUUUACUCUCGAGUUGUUUUCGAUGAUAGAGCUUCCAAAUUGACGAUCGGCUCCGUUGAACAUGAUUUAUACCACUUGAAGUGUUUAGAAAUCAAAUUUCAAAUCUUUUCGACAUCAUUUGCCUAAUGAUCAAAGGGUUUCAAAAUUUAUAAUUUUAAUGGUGGAUAAGAGACGUUUUCUCGUUUAACGGUGUAAAGAUAUCCAAAUCAAUUGAAUUUUUGUUAGAAAAUUCUUUAAACUAUUUAAAACAAGAUCUAUACUCUUGAUCUUGAUUACAAGACUCAUAUCAUCAUUUUUUAAAGAAUAUUCAUUUUCAGCCAUUCAUUUUUCUGUUCACUAGAUGGAUAUAAAACCAAUAUCGGAAAAGUGCAGUGAAAUCUGAUUUCAUAGGUUUAAAUGGUUUAGAUCAUAUUUAACGGAGCGAUCGUCAAUUUGGAAGCUCUAUCAUCGAAAACAACUCGAGAGUAAACAGGCUCGUUUACUCUCAAGAGUAUUCUAGCUCAACUCUAUAUAUAUAUAUAUAUAUAUAUAUAUAUAUAUAUAUAUAUAUAUAUAUAUAUAUAUAUAUUUCAGAUUUUAACUGUUGGAUGAAAAGAUUGUACGGUUAGGACGAUAUGACCCUCUAGAGUUUAGCGAUGGAUCUCUUAGCACCCAGUUGGUUCGGGGUUAAGGAGUGGAAUAACCCCUUAACCCUGAAGUUAUUUCCAAACACUCAAUUUGGGGGGUGGGGUUAGCUAAUCCCACCCCACCCCACUACUCCAACCAAAUAAAAUACUAUUUACCCACUAUCCUUCUAAUUUCACCUAUUCCAACCAAACACUAUUUUAUCUAUAUCUGGACUAAACCCAAUUCUCAACCAAACAUAAAAUUAUUUUAACCCCACCUUAACCCUGAGCUUAACCCUAUCCCUAAAAUAAUAAAUUUUUACUUAACUCCGAAUCAAACGGUGGCUUAAGAUUUACUAAUAGUUGGUGAAAUAGUAUUAAUUCAACAAUAAAAAUAAUAAAAGGAAUAAAUCUAACAGCUAAAAACUGAAUAACAAAAGGGCCUAUAUAUAUAUAUAUAUAUAUAA